ACACUUACCUGCCAGGGGAGUUAGUGUGAUUGGUAAGGUGGAUUUCAUUUCUCAGGUGAGGUUUGCCUGGAUAUGCUGACCCCUCAAUUUCCCCCGUGUGGGAGUUGACUGCAUAAUUUGUGGUAGCAGAGGCUGUGUUCUAGCUCUCCCUUGU
rnacentral:snRNA from 1 species